rnacentral:lncRNA from 1 species
UUAGACUAGAACAAGAAUUAAAGAAGCAAAGAUCUUUUAAUUUAUCAAAAGAAUUCUCAAAAAACUUCUUUUAACUUGCGAAUCCAUAAGUCUUCAGCGGCAGCACUUGGUGCAGACUGGGGGAAUCACCUCUAUGUUGCAGUCACAGCAGGCUUUUUGGCAUGUGCUCGUGCAUGCUGCAAAUACAAAACAAAACAAAAAAAUUAAAAGCAAAAAUGACAAUGGCAAAGUAGCAAAUUUGGCCCCAAAAAAUUUGCAAAUUUGGCAAUGUAUGCGAAAUUUUAACAUAUAUAACACAUAUUUAACUUAUAUACAUUGAAAAUAAAAAAAAAAUUACAAUUUUAACUUGUAGGAGGUCUUAUUUUUUAGAUUACUAAUCCCACCAAUUAAUAACUUUUAAUUAUUUUUAAGUAAUAUGAUAGUUUAAAAUUCAUUUUGAACAGUUGAGAAUGAAUUUGUGGCAUAAAUCAAACUAAGUCAAGAGUAUUUGUCAUAAGGGACAUGUUACGUGAAAGCUAAUGGUAAAACAUCUGUUGGCUGCAAAGUUAAAAGAGAUUGGGAGAUAACAUAUUUACUCCCUUCGUUUCAUUUUAGACGAUGGCAUAUGACUGGACAGUUUAAGGGGGAAAAAACACUUUUCGCUCAUACCAAAAGUAUUUUUAGAAAUUUUUAUCUUAAAACAUGUUGUGACGUUUCUAUGACUAGGUAAAUUAGAAAGUUUAAAGUUAAAAAAAUUUUAAAUAUAAAAAAGUUUAUUUUUUAAAAAAAAUCAACUUAUAAAGAAAGAUCGCCGUAUAAAAUGGAAAGGAAAUAGAAUUGUAUUGUACGGUAGAUAAUAACAUCUAAUGCUCGUCCAUGCUGCAGACGGCUGACGACAAACGGCUUUGGGGAAUUAGCUCCAGCUUCAACCUCCACACAAAUUAUAGAGGCCAACAGAACAAGAAUAGAGGCGAUUACUAAGAACUUUGCCAUGGUUUCACCAAUCUAAAAAUGAAAAACAACCAGGAAAUUGC